rnacentral:rRNA from 1 species
UACGAAGGGGGCUAGCGUUGUUCGGAAUUACUGGGCGUAAAGCGCACGUAGGCGGAUAUUUAAGUCAGGGGUGAAAUCCCAGAGCUCAACUCUGGAACUGCCUUUGAUACUGGGUAUCUUGAGUAUGGAAGAGGUAAGUGGAAUUGCGAGUGUAGAGGUGAAAUUCGUAGAUAUUCGCAGGAACACCAGUGGCGAAGGCGGCUUACUGGUCCAUUACUGACGCUGAGGUGCGAAAGCGUGGGGAGCCGAACAGG